UUUCGUUACGUUCCAUCAAACUUCCGCACAUACAGUCAUAGACUAUGACGUCAGUGACGUUUAUGAAAUUUGGCAGCUGACAAUGACAAACUUGAGUUAAGAAAUGUUAUUUUUUUUAACAGAUACGUCACAAUUAGUUUAGUCUGUGUGAAAAGGGAGCCGUGCGAACUAAUAAUACACUUCCUAUUUGGCGCGUGUUCAUUUCUUCACAAGAAAUAUAUACUUUUAAUUUUAUCAUAUUUAGUAUUAAAACUGUGUUGAGAACAUAACAAAAGAGGUAUUUUAACUGCUGCUACCUCAAAUUCCACAAUAGUUCUCUUUCCACACAACCAGUUAGCUAAUUAUUGUCACAAUUUGGUCAGCAGAUAAGGUUAGCGUUUGAUGAUAGUGUUAGGAUAUUUAAAUGUACGCCCAUUUGAAUUAUUAAAUCGUAAUACAUAAAUAAAACAGCUUCCAUGUGAUAAGGUUCAAUUUUGACCAAAUAGGGGCUUUCAUAUUCAUAAUAUUUAUUUAAUAGCUUUAAGAAUUUUAAUAUAAGUUAGAUAAUAGUUUUAAACAUAAUCAUUGUUUUUACAAAUAAUUGCUUUGUAUGUUGUUUGGUGACAGUGUGCUUUCAAAUUAGGGUAAGAUUAAAUAAAAGGGUGAGAUUCAGAAACGAGUGAACUAUGACUUCUGUAUGUCAAUAUGUCAUUUUUGACGUUUUGACGUGAAAAACGUGUUAAAUUUUGACAAACGGAAUCCAUAGUACACGUUUGACUCGAUUUUGAAUCGUAUCCGUACAAUAUCGACUAGCUGAUUUAAUACCAAACAUAAAUAAUAUGGCAAAGAACAAAUAUAUACAGCGACUGAUUUAUUAAGCUAUAUAAACGGUACCUAAAAGUGAACAACUUUAUCAUUUUGUGAUUAAAAAUAUUUUAUUUAUACAGUUAUAACAAGUGCCAAAAAUUUUCAUUACCAUUAUCAAUAGUAUGAGAAUUUGCAAUAUUUUAUAUGAAACGACGCUUUUAAUGUAUUACCAAUGAAUUUAAUUGUAUUAUUGUUGUUAUAAAGUGAAUUAGUACUUAUACAUUAAUUUUUAAGAAAACCCAAUUAUGGAUAUAAAGGAAUCGACGAUUGCAUUAACUGGCUUUAGAUCGUUGAAUGUGGGUCAUAGAUAAGAAUCAAGCUUUAAUCUUGUUUCUAUCAAACACAUCACACCAUUGAUAAAUUAUUUCGAAUACAAGAUCUGAUUGAUUUAUUUUUCAGUGUGUACACAAAUAAGUUAGGUUAGAUUUAGAAAUGCAGACAAAUAUUUAAUUAAUAGUCCAAUAUACCUCUAAAGAUCGUUAGCAGACUAAGCUAAUGAUUUUAUAAUCAGAUCAUUUACUAAGGAUAGAACAUAAGUUGUUAUUUUGAAUUCUGCUAAGUAAUGGCUUUAAAACACAAACUAAACAAAGAUGGCGUCGCACCAUUCUUGUGACGUACCAUGCUUUUAAACAUGGGUCAAGUUUUGUAGGUAUUAAUUAUCAUUUUGUGAUUUCUGUUAAAUUACACAAGUACAUUAUUUAUUAUUAUAUUUCGAAAAAACAGUGUCCGACGAAAUUAAACUUCAAGACAGUAUUAGGCGAGGACAUAUUAUUUACAAGCAUGCUUCGUCAACGUCAAUUCGACUAAUCCUGACCGUUUAAAAGAUAUUUGGCUCCAUAACUUUAAAGCCAUGUUAUACAGAUAACUCUCAACAACACUUUAUCUGUCAAGUAGCCUAUUGAUAAACGACAUAACAGGUGUCGCUUGAAUAUGAUUGAUUAAAGAUGCUAUAGACCAAUUAUAAUCAAACUACGCUAUCGGUCGUCUUAUUUUAUAAUAAUAUGUUACCAUUCUAACUUAGUUUUUAGAUUAGAAGAAAUUAUAAAUAUUGGUAUAAAAUUGCUCGACGAAACUAACGCUAAACGAUUCCUAUUUGUAUCGGAAUGACGCUUCGUUACCUAUUUUCAUAUAUUUUCAGUGUUUUUAUUUCAAGCCUUGCAUUUUCAUGGUAGGAUAUUCACGUAGCUUCCACUAUAACAGUAAAUCUAUUUAACAUAACGCUAUAUAGAAUUGUGUAAAAUAAAUGCCUUCCAUUUAAAAGUAAAGUACUUAAACGUAAUAAAAAUAAAUGCAUAGACAAUAUCAGAAUCUUCAAACUUUUUAAUAGGUGUCUAGUAGCUUUUUGUACAUAAUGAACAUAGAGUACUUUUGUAGGAUUUUGUAUAUCAAUAUUGACUUAGUGGUAUAAACAUGAAUGUAAGAAAAUUUUGUCUAAUCCAGUGUUUCCUAACGUGGGACCCACGCCCCACAGGGGGGUAAUUCCAAAAUGUUUUAAAAUUAUUUGGAAUUAGAAUUUCAGGUUUUCUUUAUAUAUUUAGAAAAUGUACAAGUACUUUGUAUUUCGUUAACAAUUUCCUAGUAUUUUUUAAAAUCAAUCUUUAAGUUUCUUAAGUGAACCAUUCAAUUAUUUAAUAUUAAAAAUUAUGUAUGUGAAAUAAGGUGGGGCAUUGCAAAAAUAGGUUGGGAAACACUGGUCUAAUCUAUCUUAUUAUUAUUGUAUAGAUUUAAAAAAAAAAACAAAACUUAUUUACUUAUUAUAAUACAAGAUGUCCAAGUUAUGGCGGCUAUACAGUAUACACGCUAGUCGAGUCGAGUCUGACCUUUCAGCAAGAGGACAAUAUGUAUAGACUCGGUAGCAGUUUAUCUGCAGUUAAUCUUUUACCAUUAGCGCCUUGUCUUGCUUUCAGCUUUAUUAUAACACAUGGACUAAAAUAGUGCUGUGUUUUUACUAUGGUUACCAUGGAAAUAAACAUCGUAACACAUAAGUUACUAUUUUUGGUAUAAGCUUUUUAAGCCGCUUCACGGAGAGUUAGCGAGGCGAGACGAGGCGCACUCGUUCAUAGCCUGUUUCGUUAUAUUAAUAUAAUUAUAUUAGCUAUAAGGUAUUCAAAUAUUGUUUAUUCUGUGGAUAACGUAAGAAAUUCUGAAAUAGAGCAUUAAACGCAUGUUGAUUGAGAUUUUAUUUAUAAUAACUUCAAGAAUAUAAAAAGUAUCAAAAAUUAUAAGUCUUAGUACUCUUUUGUUAUCUACAGUGAAAAUACAUGAUGGUUAGUUUGGCUAAGACACCCAGGAGCUUGAGACAGAAUCACUUUUCGACAGGCGUGACCUACCUAACGCGAAACUAAUUUGUAUGGGAAUGAAAUAAGCUCACGCUUUAUCACGUGAAAAUUUUCAUGCAAAUUGUCGUGGCGUUAUUGGGUCACGCCUGUUGAAAUGUGAGUGUACAUAUUUUGCCGCCUGAGACAAACAUCUGUUUUCGCAGGUGCAUUCCAUACAAACUCACUCUCGUUAGCCGACCCCAGUUAUAAGAUGUUUUGUCUAGUAAACCAAACUUCAUUCUUAGAAUAAAAUGCCUAACCGCCAUUUUUAUCAUAUAAAGUUAAUAUUACAUUUAUUGUGUUUAAAGAUAUUUUAAAUUUGUAAUUAUUAAAAAUGUAUUAAUGACGUAAAAGUCAAAAUGAUAAAGAUUCCUAAUUUUUGUUUACUAUUAUUUACGGUGCAAUUCUGAUAGAAUCAACUUUAUAUUUGUUGAUGGUAAGAUCCUAGUCAUAGAUUAUAUUUAUACUUAGUUGUGUUGUUGUAAAAUAUAGCUUGUGUUUUUUAAUGUGAAUUAAUAUUAUCAAUUAAAAUGUAAGUAUGUGGAAUUCCCAUAUGAUUUAUUGUAAUCUCAUGUAAUAUUAUAAAACAGAGUUAAUUUUUGUAACUAAUUUUUGUGUCAUUUAAUAAACUUUAUGAUCUGGU